GAUUGGCUUCAUGAAGAAUAUGAUGAAGUUACAAGUAGCUUAAUUGCAGAUGAUGGCACCCCAGAGCAAGCCAAGCAGUAAAGUUGGAACAUGGAUAUUUUGAUGAUGACGAAUGAAUGA